rnacentral:lncRNA from 1 species
GGGCCUCUCAUAGGUCGGACCUAAUAAUCGAGUCCUACUAAGGUCGGGUCCACAUGCCAAAAUAUUGUCCUCUUCUCGAGUCUCUUGCGAGUUUUAGUGCUCCUAUGACUCAACUGUUUAUCAUUAUCUAAAUACUAAACGUAUUACAAUUCAUGCCAAACCUAAAGUGGUAAUUGUGAUAUAACUCAAUCACUGUACAAGAUAAAGAUUACAGGUGGUUGAAUCCAGAUACAACUCAACCACUGACAUCUAUAAAUACAGGACUCAGCUCCAUUACUCAGGUAUGUCUUUACAAUACAAUUACAGCACAUACUUUUACACAAUUUCCCUCUCUGACUUAAGCAUCGGAGGGGCGACGAGCACACAUCUCGUUGCCUUUGUUUCAGGUACCGGAAGCCCUUGUUCGUGCUCUUACUCGAUCCUCGGGCUCGAUAUUCAAGCAACAAGUUCGUGAUAUGCCAGGUACAAUUUUUUGACAUCAUCAUUGGCACCGUCUGUGGGAAACGCAACAGUUGACCACGAAAAAACCCCAUGAGAAAAGGCCGACCAGAAUAUUCCUGGAGAAAUAAAGAAAAAUGUGACAAGAAGAUAGCCAGAUGAACGAACAAAGAUCUGAGAAAUUUGCCUUAAGGCGUUUCUUGAACCAUUCAAUACCGGUGCUAAAAAAAAAACUCCCAAGCAAGCCCUUAAUGAAGGAGUUUUUCAACUAAAGGUAAAAAAUACACCGUGAAAACGGUAAUCUUCGGCCAUGAAACUGGCGAAACCCAAUAAAAUAAAUAGAGAAAUUGUGGAUACAUUUGGAAAAGCGGAGGCACGUCGGGAGAAUUUUAGAAAAACAAAAGCAGAUCCAAUUUACUCCAUGCGUAGAAAAGGCAAAGGGAAAAUAAGAAGAAGACAGAAAAGCCAAAUCCUGAAUAAUCUGUGAUCUAAACUAUGGAAGGAUUAUGAUUUCGUUUAGGGGCUCGCUGCGAGGCUACCAUAACCCUAGACGACCGCUGGUGAAGUCACGGCAAGGACUCACUUCACCUCAAGGUCGAUAUUUUGACAAAUUCCUCGCACUUUAUUUCGGUCCAUGGAAGGCGAAUAACCACUCCCCGGUUUACGGUCAGUGUCUAAUUCCUAUAACUCUGUUGAGGUUGAUCCCAAAUCUUUAGUUGGAAGAGCCAUUAGCGAUCUCGAAGGUUUCGUCACAACCACCAAUGACUGACAUUGAACGAAGUUCCUGUGACUAAAUACUACCUUCUGCUAUUCUUAAAUUAUGUUUUCCUUUUGGAAUAAGGUCACAGAGAUGGUCAAAUCUACUUAUAAGGAUCGCACUAAUUCUAUGCUCAUAAACUGUUCGGUAGAAUGCUGAGAAGAAAAUUGAUAAUUAUAUAAAGUGUAAUCCCCCUGCUGCUAAAUCUGCCACAGAGACCUGCCUUUGGUUGUGUUAAAAAAAAAAAAAAGGGGCGAGGAAUUGAGCUCAAUUAAUACAGUUGGCAGCUGCUGGGAUGAAUUAGUGGGGGUUCAAAGUUGAAUUAUAUAUACACCCAAAGUGGACGGCUGGGGCUGCAAAGUUUGAAUAAAUAAUAUACACACAUAAGAUGGAAACAGCUGGGAAUUGGACUUUUGAAUGAAAAACAAAAAUGGGGGCUAAAUUGAUUGUGUCAGAGGCAAAAAAAAUACAUGGCUGGUGGCACGUAACAUAUAUUUCCUUGGAAAAAUGCCUUGGUUGGAGUUCUCUUAUUUAAAGGCUCUAUUGAACAUUCUAAUUAACCGCAGCAGUCAACUGCCAACGCCAAUGCUAAUCUGAUUACCAGUGCUUCCAUUAAUAGUGUUGUAAAAGCAACAAUAAUAAAAGUCGGAAUAGUGUUGAAGGAACAAGAACAAAGAUUUUACCAUGAAAAUAUACAGUAUCCAGCUCCAAACCCGGUAUGUGUUCGCCUAACAGAGGUAUUCAUUUUUUUCUAUUUUGUUGUGAAUUUUAUAUCCCCGAGCAAUUCAACUAUGGAUAUGUCAUCAUGCUGCCCUUUACGCUUUCUUAUCAUAGCAUGCCAUUUAUGUAUUGAUAUAGAAAAGAUGAUAUAAUGCAGUCCUCCCUUGCAUGUUGACAAUAAUUAACAAAAAAAAAAAUAUAUGUAUAUAUAUAUAUAUAUAUAUAUAUAUAUAUAUAUAUAUAUAUCAAAAAUUCAUGUGGAAAGUUUUGCUUGGACAUCAAUUCAUGACACUAAAAUAAUUUUACUUAGUUUUGCAUCAUCACCGAAGGCUAUAGCUCCAAGAAUUAAUCAUCAUUAUGAAAAAUGGAAACUUGGUAAUUCUAAACUAAUUAAUACGAUUGAGAUAUUAAUUUGUUAAAUAAGCUUUUGAAAUUUUAAUGGUUUUAUUGAUUUACAUUUUAAUAAACAAAGGUCAUGCAUUGAAAAUAUUACUGAACCACUACUUGCCUAUAUUUUUUUUUACACUGCUACUAAUAUCAAGCAAUUGUCAUGAUUAGUUGAGAUUAAAUUUAGUAACUCAUGCACACAUCCCAAAAUAAAUAUUAUGGAUAUUUUAAAGGACACCAAUCACACAACAUACAUGAUCUGUGUUUUAAUCCUUGAAAAACAUAUAUUUUGGUGUUAUAAAUGCUCAUGCUUAUGGUAUGAUUAUUUGGUUAUAAAUUACAAUAACAUUUGGUUCAUUCAUACUAAGUGCUCCAUCAAAGCCCUACCACGAGUAGGCACAUCAAAGCCUUGCCCCGCGCAAGCACCAAAGCCCUGUCACGAGCAGGCACAUCAAAGCCUUGCCCCGUGCAGGCACCAAAGCCCUGUCACGAGUAGGCACCUCAAAGCCAUGCCCCGCGCAGGCACAUCAAAGCCUUGCCCGGUGCAGGCACAUCAAAGCCUUGCCCCGCGCAAGCACCAAAGAGCUGUGACGAGCAGGCACAUCAAAGCUCUACCACGAGUAGGCACAUCAAAGCCUUGCCCUGUGCAAGCACCAAAGCCCUAUCACGAGUAGGCACAUCAAAGCUCUACCCUGCGCAGGCACAACAAAGCCUUGCCUCGUGCAAGCACCAAAGCCCUGUCACGAGUAGGCACAUUAAAGCCUUGCCCCGCGCAAGCACCAAGCCCUGUCACGAGCAGGCAUAUCAAAGCCCUGCCCCGAGCAGGCACCAUCAAAGCCUUGCUCCGCGCAAGCACUAAAGCCCUGUCACGAGCAGGCACAUUAGAGUCUUGUCGUGCACAAGCACCUCUAAGCUUUGCCCCGUGUAAGCACCCCUAAGUCUAGCAAUGAAUCAAAGUAAUAAACUCGACCACGAGUCUGUCCCGAGAUUGUCAGGCUCAACCUAUUAUUAAAUUCAAUGGAGCACAGCUCGAGAUAUUAUUUCACAUUGGGCUCGGGGGCCUGUCCUCGAGCUCAACACAUUGUCUACUCCCAGUCAGAAGGGCUCGGGAUAAUUGCUUCACAUUGGGCUCAUGCCUAUCUUCGAGCUCAAUUCUUUUUUUCAAAUCCCAGCCACAAGAGCUCGGGAUGGUUGUAUCACGUUGAGCUCGGGGGCCUAUCCUCGAGUUCAAUCCAUUGUCAAAUCCUAAACACAAGAGCUCGGGAUAAGUCUCUCACAUUAGCUUGAGACUAUCCUCGAGCUCAAUACAAUCUAAUCCUAGAUGCAAGGGCUCGAUAUAAUUAUUGCACAUUGAGUUCGGGCUAUAUCUCCUAUAUGAAUCUUUGUCCAUUCGUCAAACCCAUUACUUCCAAAACUUUUAACAAAGCUCGAGGUUGAGCUCGUUCUUUUCAACUUCUAAACAAGGUAGAGUCAAGCUCUUUCACAUCAAGUACUGAUAAAGCUUGAGGUUGAGCUCGGUCAUGCCAAAUUCUUUUACAAGGUCGAAGUCGAGCUCAGUUCUCUCAAAAAUUUCAACAAGAUCCGUGUGCUCGGGGGCCUAUCGACUUGACAUGAGCAUGCCUAUUCUUGAACUUAAUAUACUUAUGCAUCUCAUGCCAGAAACUCCCACAUUGCACACGAGCUCCUGACAUGGAUGCACGGGGGCCUAUGAUGUGUACGAAAAUUAUAGCCCGACCCCGAACUUUCAAGCAUGGCCCGAGGUAAAUACCUCGACCACUCUCAUCUCCAAAUAUCCUUUAAAAUGUGGUCGGGCCUCUCAUAGGUCGGACCUAAUAAUCGGGUCCUACUAAGGUCGGGUCCACAUGCCAAAAUAUUGUCCUCUUCUCGAGUCUCUUGCGAGUUUUAGUGCUCCUAUGACUCAACUGUUUAUCAUUAUCUAAAUACUAAACGUAUUACAAUUCAUGCCAAACCUAAAGUGGUAAUUGUGAUAUAACUCAAUCACUGUACAAGAUAAAGAUUACAGGUGGUUGAAUCCUGAUACAACUCAACCACUGACAUCUAUAAAUACAGGACUCAGCUCCAUUACUCAGGUAUGUCUUUACAAUACAAUUACAGCACAUACUUUUACACAAUUUCCCUCUCUGACUUAAGCAUCGGAGGGGCGACUAGCACACAUCUCGUUGCCUUUGUUUCAGGUACCGAAAGCCCUUGUUCGUGCUCUUACUCGAUCCUCGGGCUCGAUAUUCAAGCAACAAGUUCGUGAUAUGCCAGGUACGAUUUUUUGGCAUCAUCAGUACCUAAAGAGAUAUAUGCAAGUAAUUAGAGGCCUAUAUGCUCUUGUGGAUAGUGAAACUGUGGAAGAACCAAGAAACUUGCCGAACACUAUCAUAUGGAGUAUGUUAUGUCAUUUCUGAUUAAAUGACUCAUUUUCCCAAGUCAGGGGCAGUUACUUCGAAUGGAUCCUAUGCCUCCAAUAAAAAUGUUUUCUCUCUUGUCUCUCAAGAAGAACAUCAAAGGAAUGUUAAUAUCGAUGCUAAUGUUUCUGGUUCUGGUUUUGCUGAUUCCAUGGCUUUCUACAUCAAAAAUGAUCUCAAAAUAACCAAUAUAGGACAGUUGCAUAAUAAAUUUCAAAAGGAGGAAAGACAUAUUGCAUGUAUUGUGGUUACACAGGGCAUGCUAUGGACAAGUGCUAGAAAUUGCACGAUUAUCCUCCUGGAUAUAAGAUUAAGCAGAAAUCUGCAUUAGUAGCCAAUCAAAUGGUAACAAUCAAUCAAAAUAUGUUGUUGCUAAUCAAGUUUCUGUUGACAUAUGGUCGACUUAAUCCUCAAUGUUUUGAUCAUAACAAACAAGAUUAUUUCUAUUUUUAACAAAUUCUUUUUAGUGAUGAUAGUUCAAUAUUCAAAUCAAUCAUGUAUCAUCGGACUUCAAAUGAAGAUCAAAGUAAAAGCUAUGUAUUCAAAUCAAAUCAUUUGAGACAAAAAGCUUAAAAUAUAAAUGCCAAGAAAGAUCAAGAUCAAGAUCAAGAACAUGAGAGACGAUAUCAAAGAAAGAUCAAGAUGAGGCAAAUUUCGAAGUAAAGACUUGAUUUCUUAGGCAAAAGCUUAAAUGUACUAAUGCUUUGAUCUUUGACAAAGAGUAGUUAAGCUCAAAAUCUUACUAUGCAUUAAAAACAAUUUUUGUUUAGUAAAAUAAUUCGAAUGUAACUUUUUUGAUCAAAUAUGAAAAUGACUUUUAAAAAUGAUAUAUGGACUUUAAAGACAUUUUUAUUAUGAAAAUUUAGUUAAAAAUAUUCUCUAAAAGUCCAUACACUUCAAAACUCUAAAAUCGGAGCAAACGAGACCAAAACGUGAAAAUACCACAUUGCUGGGGCGGUCAACCGCCCAGAGAGGCGGUCGACCGGACUCCCUCCAACAGUCCAGAAUUUGAUCGUUCUGACUUCUAAUUUUUACUGUACAAACGGUUAUAUUGGUCUUUUGGACAAGAGUCGGUCGAACUGGACAAGUCAUCCUCAAAUUCAGAUUUUUUAACGUUCUGGACUCUAUAAAUAACCAACCUCUAGCAUCAUUUCAUCACUUCUAAGAGUAUUAAAUUGAGGUACUUUCAAAUUUUAACUCUCUACUCUUUAUUUAUCUCUAUCAAUUCAUUCGUUUUUGGAAAACUUUUGAUUGAGUUUACUUUGGAAAAUCAUUUCAUUUAUCAAAGUUUUUCAAACCUAACAAUUGAGCUCUACUUAUUGCCAUUCAUUAAAGUGUUAGCCUACUUCUUUCCAUUGUACUCUACUUUGAAUAUAUCUUUAUUGUGGAAGAAGAUUCAUUUUUGUAAAGUUUACUUUUGAUUGAAUUGUGGGUCGUUUUGAGGUCCUUGAAAGCUCAACGUUGUAAAAGGAUCGAUGCUCCUUGUUUUUAAGCCAUCGAAAGCUUUGUAGAAGGUUGGAUUGCACCAUAAGUCAAUCACAUUUAGCGAAAAAGGCCUUGCUUGUGACUGAGAGCUUGGUAACGGGGGACGUAGAUCGUGAUUGGAUCGAACUUCCAUAACACAUUGUUUGCAUUCUCUAUCCCCUUCUCUAGUUAUUUUUCAAAGUUAUCUUGCUUGCUCUUUAUUUUAUUUGCAAAUUGUUUAUAUUAACACUUAUUAUUAAAAAAGAUUUAAAUACCAAUUCACCCCUCUCUUGGCUAGUCAUUCUUUGGGCUUUCAGUUUCUAAGUCUAUAUUCUAGAUCAAACACAGGGAAAUUUUGGAGAAUUCAUGCAGACCUUGAAUCCUACACAAUAUCAGCAUUUGAUGGAAGUGUUGAGUAGUCAUUUGGCAUCUACAAAGAUUGAUGCAGCAGCUGAUAUCUAAUAUAAUCAAGUGUCAGGUACAUGUUUUUCCAUCUCACUUAAUCCAUUGCUAAAUUCACCUAGACAUUGAGUAGUGGACUCAAGAGUAACCAGCCACAUUUGCUUCAACGCUUUUCAUACAAUGAAACCAACACAGAAUGCUUAUGUUAUAUUGCCAAAUUGUAUGAGAAUCCCUAUAGAGUUUAUUGGUACAAUGAAAAUUGCUAUGAAUCUGACACUUGAAGAUGUGUUGUUUGUGCUGCAAUUCAAAUUCAAUUUGUUAUCAGUUAGUUCCCUAACCAGACCUUGAGGUCAAGUUUCUGAUUGAUUCAUGCAUUAUCCAGGACCUGCACAGCUUGAAGAUGAUUGGCAAGGAUAGAAAAGUUGCUGGUCUAUACAUAAUGAGUGAUAACUCAUCUGGCUUAGCACAAAGUAUUCCCUUGAAAAUGUUUGUGUAUCUAUUUCUAAUGUUGUAAAUAUGUGCACUUGGCAUCAUAGACUAGGCCACUCGUUCUUUCAAAAGUUAAACAUGAUAAAAGAUCAAUUAUAUUUAGUUUGUAAUAAGCAUAGGAAUCAUGAUUAUGAUCCUUGUGAUAGAUGCCCUUUAGCCAAACAAAGGGGAUUUUCCUUUAUGUUCAACAAUCAUAUGUCAACUGAUGCAUUUGACGUGAUUCAUUGUGAUACUUGGGGACCUUGCCAUGUCCCAGCAUACUCUAACUUCAGAUAUUUUCUUACACUCGUGGAUGAUUG